GAUGAACGCUAGCUACAGGCUUAACACAUGCAAGUCGAGGGGAAACGACAUUGGAAGCUUGCUUCCGAUGGGCGUCGACCGGCGCACGGGUGAGUAACGCGUAUCCAACCUGCCCAUCACUUGGGGAUAACCUUGCGAAAGUAAGACUAAUACCCAAUGAUAUCUCUAGAAGACAUCUGAAAGGGAUUAAAGAUUUAUCGGUGAUGGAUGGGGAUGCGUCUGAUUAGCUUGUUGGCGGGGUAACGGCCCAACAAGGCGACGAUCAGUAGGGGUUCUGAGAGGAAGGUCCCCCACAUUGGAACUGAGACACGGUCCAAACUCCUACGGGAGGCAGCAGUGAGGAAUAUUGGUCAAUGGGCGAGAGCCUGAACCAGCCAAGUAGCGCGCAGGAUGACGGCCCUAUGGGUUGUAAACUGCUUUUAUAAGGGAAUAAAGUGAGUCUCGUGAGACUUUUUGCAUGUACCUUAUGAAUAAGGACCGGCUAAUUCCGUGCCAGCCGCCGCGGUAA
rnacentral:rRNA from 1 species